rnacentral:rRNA from 1 species
GACGAACGCUGGCGGCGUGCUUAACACAUGCAAGUCGAACGGUAAGGCCCUUCGGGGUACACGAGUGGCGAACGGGUGAGUAACACGUGGGUGAUCUGCCCUGCACUUCGGGAUAAGCCUGGGAAACUGGGUCUAAUACCGGAUAGGACCCUGGGAUGCAUGUCCUGGGGUGGAAAGCUUUUGCGGUGUGGGAUGGGCCCGCGGCCUAUCAGCUUGUUGGUGGGGUGAUGGCCUACCAAGGCGACGACGGGUAGCCGGCCUGAGAGGGUGACGGGCCACACUGGGACUGAGAUACGGCCCAGACUCCGACGGGAGGCAGCAGUGGGGAAUAUUGCACAAUGGGCGCAAGCCUGUUGCAGCGACGCCGCGUGCGGGAUGACGGCCUUCGGGUUGUAAACCUCUUUCAGCACCGACGAAGCGCAAGUGACGGUAGGUGCAGAAGAAGGACCGGCCAACUACGUGCCAGCCGCCGCCGUAA